GAUGAACGCUGGCGGCGUGCCUAAUACAUGCAAGUCGAGCGAACAGAUAAGGAGCUUGCUCCUUUGACGUUAGCGGCGGACGGGUGAGUAACACGUGGGUAACCUACCUAUAAGACUGGAAUAACUCCGGGAAACCGGUGCUAAUGCCGGAUAACAUUUAGAACCGCAUGGUUCUAAAGUGAAAGAUGGCUUUGCUAUCACUUAUAGAUGGACCCGCGCCGUAUUAGCUAGUUGGUAAGGUAACGGCUUACCAAGGCAACGAUACGUAGCCGACCUGCGAGGGUGAUCGGCCACACGGGAACUGAGACACGGUCCAGACUCCUACGGGAGGCAGAAGUAGGGAAUCUUCCGCAAUGGGCGAAAGCCUGACGGAGCAACGCCGCGUGAGUGAUGAAGGUCUUCGGAUCGUAAAACUCUGUUAUUAGGGAAGAACAAAUGUGUAAGUAACUGUGCACGUCUUGACGGUACCUAAUCAGAAAGCCACGGCUAACUACGUG
rnacentral:rRNA from 1 species